rnacentral:miRNA from 1 species
CACCAUUUUGGUGCAAAAUGGUGCAAAAUGAAUAGUGUUGCACCAAAUAUGGUGCAACACUAUUCACUUUGCACCAUUUUGCACCAAAAUGGUG